rnacentral:rRNA from 1 species
AAAUUGAAGAGUUUGAUCAUGGCUCAGAUUGAACGCUGGCGGCAGGCCUAACACAUGCAAGUCGAACGGUAACAGAAAGCAGCUUGCUGCUUUGCUGACGAGUGGCGGACGGGUGAGUAAUGUCUGGGAAACUGCCUGAUGGAGGGGGAUAACUACUGGAAACGGUAGCUAAUACCGCAUAACGUCGCAAGACCAAAGAGGGGGACCUACGGGCCUCUUGCCAUCGGAUGUGCCCAGAUGGGAUUAGCUUGUUGGUGGGGUAACGGCUCACCAAGGCGACGAUCCCUAGCUGGUCUGAGAGGAUGACCAGCCACACUGGAACUGAGACACGGUCCAGACUCCUACGGGAGGCAGCAGUGGGGAAUAUUGCACAAUGGGCGCAAGCCUGAUGCAGCCAUGCC